rnacentral:misc_RNA from 1 species
GAGGUUAUUGUAUCAGAUCUUGGUAAUUUCGUAAGGAAUCAAUAUGUUCAUAUCAUUUAUUUUGUUUACAAGUGGUUGGCUUUUCUUGAUUUCUUUGUAUUUAUGAAUCAAUCAGUCAUAUUGAUUGAUUGGUUGAGCAUAACUAUUUGAUGUAGAAAUACUAGAACACGCCAGAGGAAGAAGAAACAAGCUUUCAAAUCUGUUAAUUCUCAUUUGUCAAUAAUAAUAACUCCGGAAAAUACCUAAAAUUACACAGGGAUUUAUAGACUGAUAACUAGUCCUACUGUUACUUCUAGGAUUAGGAAUCACAAAAUAGGAAAAUACCAAACCAAUGCUAAUUAGGAAGUUCAAAACCUGCUAUAAC